UACGUAGGUGACAAGCGUUGUCCGGAUUUACUGGGCGUAAAGAGCGUGUAGGCGGCCUGAUAAGUCGGCUGUGAAAAAGUCAGGCUCAACCCUUGAAAAUGCCGGCCGAUACUGUCAGGCUAGAAAUCCGGAAAGAGGGCGAGUGGGAAAUUUCCUGGGUGUAGCGGGUGAAAUGCGCAGAUAUCAGGAGGAACACCUUAUGGCGAAGGCAGCUUCGCUUGGACGGUAAUUGGACGCUUGGAAGGACG
rnacentral:rRNA from 1 species